AGCCCUGCUCCUCCACCGGCUCCCAGCCAUCGACCUACUCUACCACCAGCGUUUGUGUGAGCAAUACUGUAACACGCCUGCAUACAUCUUUCCAAAUUUGGUUGAAUGCCUUUGCUACGAGAGAGCAAAGGACACGGGCAAAUCCACGUGGGAGCUAAGCAGCCCUCAAUGAUCGUUGCCAACAACACGUGGCUUGCAUCCCCCAACUAACCGUGUUUGCAAAAUUGGGAAGGCCCCACCAAAGCCUCUCUGGUAUGACGGGUCAACAAAAAGCAGCCGAGUUGUUGACUUUCUUAUGAGUUCGGCACUAGUUACGCCACGCAACUCGUUCUUGUCACCUCAUAUGUCAUCUGGGGGUGCUUCACAGGAAAUUGUGCAAAUAAGGUGCCAUGUAGUCAACCAUUAACUUGAUCUAUUGAAGGCAUCGUUGUGCAAAGGCAGAUGGGAUGAGUUACUCCUUCAAGAGCAAAUUCUACAAGAUGGUGUUUCUGAUCUCAAAAGGGCUGAAGGGUGGGACACAAGCAGCGUCAGGACAGGGGUGCCUUACCGUGCAUUCCGCCGUACCGAGGCAUUUGUUCUGGCAAGCGUUUCUUAUUCCAUACCACACCAGGAAGCCAUACUCUGCCUCAGAACAGCGCAAGUUAAAGCAGUGUUCAUCGCGUUGUGUUCAUCAGCCCAUUAACUCAACUAAUUUUUGGUCAAGUUACCUCUUAUUUUUAUUUUUUUGCCAAAGUCUCUCAAAAACGUUUCUGGAAAGCCAACAAACUCCUCAACGUUCUACUUUGAUAAACAGGCUUUGGACCGUUGUUCAGCGGGUACCCAUUCGGAAAACGUUGAUCCAUUUGUGGGCUUUUGAUGAUUUGUGUAGAAAGAGCUGGAUGUCCCCUUCUCAGACUUGGUUAGCCUGCCCGUUCUUUGUGACAAAUGCAUUGUGUCUCCUACAUCAACAUCCUUGGAUAACUGAAAUUCUGGCACUGGACUGCUAGAUGGACGUCACUUGUGCAGAUAAAACAUCUAACAACUUCCAGACUUUCCGUACUUCCCUAAUUUCCUAACUAGUCUAUGAGGAGGUUAGAACUGAUCUCUAUUUAAACCACUUCUUGAGAUCUUGAGAUCUUUGAAAGCUAGGCUUAGUCAAAGUGGUGAAAAGGGAGGUUGUUCAGUGACAGUAAAAGGAUCGUUGGCAGAAGGAUAGGCCUACGUAUGAAACGGGGAUGGUUAAGAUCUAGGAACUCUGUGACAGCCUGCUGGAGGUGAGCAUUUAAUCACAAUUCCUAAGAUGUGGCCUGAAUCCUUUCUGAGCUGUACUCAGCAUACCAUCGUUGUUGUAGCCACCUUCUGACGGACAAUCUUUUAAAGUAAUUGGCACUCAGGUUUUAGCAAAGAGGCAGCAGCAGUGUUUGCUGAAGACGUUACUUUGCUUGCAAGGCAUAAGAACGGAACACCUUAAUUUGUACUAAGGGUCUUGCUAUUGCAGUAACCAGGUCUUAGGUGUUUUGAUCUUCUGGAUGACUAAAAAGAAACAUAGUUCAUCAGUACUGUUCUAUUUUUAGUACUUCAAGGAAACAACAAAAGCUCAGAGUUAUUACUAAUUUUGAUAUUUUAACCACACUGCACAUUUCAUCCUCAGUGAAAGAAGUUCUCUUCUCCCAAGUUACUAGUGUUACAAUGAGAGAAAAUGGCCUCAAGCUGUGUCAGGGGGUUUUAGAUUGGAUAUUAGGAAAAACUUCUUUACUGAAAGGGUGGUCAGGCAUUGGAACAGGCUGCCCAGAGAGGUGGUGGAGUCACCAUCCCUGGAGGUGUUCAAAAAACAUGUAGACGUGGCAGUUUGGGACAUGGUUCAGGAGGCAUGGGGGUGGUGGGUUGACAGUUGGACUUGAUGAUCUUAGAGGUCUUUUCCAACCUUAAUGAUUCUAUGAUUCUAAGUUCUUCUUUUACACAUAUACAUUGCUUGCAUGGCCAUUAAUUCUUCUUUGCCUUUUAUUCUAAUCUUUUGUCCCUGUUGCUUUAUAAGACUUUUCUGGAGAAUCAACCAUACUAUGCAAAAAUACAAUGCAAUAGUGCUACGGUUCAAGCAUCUGAGAAGUACCUCGUUUUGUGACUGGUGGCAAGGUUUUGCAGUUGGAUUUUGCUACACUAUAGCAUGAUAGCUUCCUCUCAUCUUGCUUUCUCUAGAAAAAAUGAAGCUGUCCAAAAGUUGUAUGGUGAAUUGUCUACAUCACCAUUUCCUUAUUAUUUCUGAGGGUGUUUCAUACUUUUCUCAUUGAGGCAGGACGUGUCAAUUUUUAACAAAAUUUUGGUUGUUGAAACCAAUCUUCCUGCCAACUUCCCAAGUGGCUUUACUAACAUCACAAAGAAGUGUUUCUAGUAGAGAAGUUAUAUGGCAUACAGUAGUAGAGCAGUCUAGGAAGAGUGGAAAUCCAGGCCAGUUUGAGUUCUGAUGGUGGCAGCAAAUGUUUUUAGAGGUUCUUGAAACAUCCUCUGUUAAUUCAGCAUUGGAAAGGAUCAGACAAUGUCAGCCAGGCAGGAAGUGUUACCCCAUGUGCAUACAGUGCUUCCAGUCUGAAGUGGACAACUGCCUACAGUGGCAAUCCUAGUCAAGUCAGGAGGGCAGUCGUUCUCCUGUUCAGCAGAACAAAGAAUGUUCUAAUUCAUGGGCAAGGUACAGAUCAUGGAAUUAAGUUCGUUUGAAAGGUCAACUCCAUUUUGACCUCACUGUGUGCCAUUGUAAUAUCUAUAAAGAUCUUCAUAGGUGGUGGAAUAGCUGAAUUUGAAAUAGUUAUGAUGGUAGGCCACAGCUGGAUGAAACUUGACAGUACUGAAAAUAUUGUAGAGCUCUGUAUUAGAUGGGAAUGGGGCUACCUCUCCAGGUUUUGCUCUAACCGAGGGACCACAGCCAUAUUUGAUAUGCGGGUAUUUAUCCACAAGAUCAUAACUCUUAAUAAUAAAAUGCCUAUCAGAAACUUGUAAUCAGCCCUUUAGUAUUUGGGUGCAGGGCUUGGGAGUGAAGCAUUUAGUAGAUGAGAUAUGUCAGUGAUUAGCUAAAGGAUUUCAAAAGGUGGGACACAUAUGGCUAAAUGUAAUGGUCUACACUGCAGGCAUUAACAUCCAAUCAAAUCAUCCUAUGUUUUUCAGAGUCAACAAAAAGCCAGUCAGCAUAGUCAAUGGAAUUCACAGCAUGCAUCAUCUCAUCCUAAAGUAGGUGACUAUGUCCGGUCAGAUGAAUUGAAGCCUAAAUUCGAUUUACUUUGUUGACUGGAUUUUUACUGAUUGAAAGUAUGGCACCUAUUCUGCAACUGCCUGAAGAAAGGACUGCAAUGUGUCUUCUGAAGAAGAUUAUGAAGAAACAAACACCCAUGGGAUCCUCUUCUUAGGUCUGAUCUCCUGGUUCUGUGUCCGCCUCCUGGAAUUCAACAGGCCCUGCAGCUUCCCCUCAGUACUGGGAAUACAGAUCACUCCUCAGCAGUAAGGAAAAGAAGUGAGCAAAGGAGAUAUGAGGACACUCCAGUGACUACUUCCUCAAGGAGUCAAGCAGCUGUCAAGUUGUAUUGUUGGCACAUCCCAAUAAUGACAAACUACAAAAGCUAUUCAAAGAAGAAAACAUUCUUCUUGAACAUUGUUCUGAAAAAAAAAACCCCAACCACUAACUGAAUCUUUUCAGGUGAAAUAUUCUUUUAAAGAAUUCAUCAAGAGUCAUAUAUUGAAAAGUUGUAAUCCAAAUGGUUUAAACGCAGCAAAGAUAACAAUGUAAAAGUGUCUUAUACUAGAAAACAUUGAGCAACGUUAACUGUAGGCAUUACUAUCCAUACUGGCUGUAACAAAAACAGUGUAACAUAGCAUGUAAUGCACUCCCCAAAGAUACAAUCUCAGAUCAGCACAGGCAUGCAUAAACACUACAUAGUAUAAAGGUUUUUGAAAAUAAAUAUGGAAUGAUUCCAUUACUCACAAAUAGUAUAGUUAUGAAUUAGUCAUACAGGUCAUCCCAAAUAAGUGCACAAGAUAACUUCUUUAUAUAUCACAUCAUAGCGUUACAUUUUUUCAAUAUAAUAGAUAUACCAGAGAGGAACUAUCUGAGGAAUAUUUUUUAAAAUUUGAAAAAACGGUAUUGCAAUUGUUUGUAUCUUUCGAACCUAUGAAAGCUGCUCUAAUUUACUUGACUGCAAUAGUUCAAGGUUCAGACAAGAUGAAGACUUAAGAGUAAUAGCUGCAAAAGAUCUCAGAACUACUUAGAAUUGUUUCUGUAUAUGGAAGCAUUUUUAAAGUGCAAUAAAGGAUUUUCUACACCUACAAAGGCUAGAACACUGGCAUUUCCCAAGGGAAUAGACUUUUUACUCAAAGUUCUGCAGAGUGGCAAGGAAAAAAACUGUCAACCAUCAAAAAUAUAUCACAAAUCAGCUAUAUUUCUAUUAAAAGUAUCUAAGUUCAGAGCAGGGAACAGCGACUGUUCAUCUUCCUGGCUCUAUUUAGAGAACCUGUCAUGUGGACCAUGUCAAGGAAACUGGAGAUGGUGUCAUUGAAGAAACUUCCCUGCUUCUGCAUGAAACAGGAGAAGCCAAGGGCUCAGGGCCUACUUCAAAUCCUAUUCUUUAUGUUAGUUGUUUUGAGUAUACUUGAAACAUAUCAAAGAAAAUCAUCAGUAACUUGUGUAUAAUAAGACAAAACAGAAUUUUGUGCGUUACGGACAUACUUCGUUAGGUGAUGAAACUCUCACCGA